rnacentral:rRNA from 1 species
CAUGUCUUUUUGAUAAUAAUUUAAGGUCUAAUCUGCUCAAUGAUUGAUUAAAUAGCCGCAGUAUAUUAACUGUGCAAAGGUAGCAUAAUAAUUAGUUUCUUGAUUAGGAGCUGGAAUGAAGGAUUGGACGAGAAAAUUUCUGUCUCGGUUUAAUUUUUUUUUGAAUUUUAUUUUUAAGUUAAAAAGCUUAAAUUUUUAUAAAAGACGAGAAGACCCUUUAGAGUUUUAUACUUAUUUCUUAAGUUAUUUUAGAAAUUUAUUUUAUGAUCUAAGUAUUUAGUUGGGGUGACUUGGAGAUUUAUUUAAUUCUUUAAAAUAUUUUAUUGAUGAUUUUUAAAUAAUAUAAGUAAUUUUUUAAAUUUAGAAUUAAUUACCUAAGGGAUAACAGCGUAAUUUUUCUUUAAAGUUCUUAUUGAAAGGAAAUUUUGCGACCUCGAUGUUGGAUUAAAAUUAAUUUUUGACGCAAUAGUUUAAGGAUUAGGUCUGUUCGACCUUUAAAAUU